CUUACGUGCAUGUUCAUAUUCAAUGUUUGAUCGUUUGUCUUUUUUGAAAAUUUUCUACGAUUAAUAUUUUGCUUGUUAUUAGAUGAUAAAACAUGAAUAACACUUUAUAUGUGAUUUUUUUUAAUUUUUUAUAAAUUUUUUGAAUAAGACGGACGGUUAAACAUUGGAUACGGAUGUUAAGGCUGCACUUGUU
rfam:Oryza sativa Japonica Group DNA, chromosome 6, cultivar: Nipponbare, complete sequence.